rnacentral:rRNA from 1 species
GGGUCAGUAGGUUGGUCGUGCCACCGGUACGUACUGGUCUCACUGAUUCCUCCUUCCUGAGGAACCGUAAUGCCAUUAAUUUGGUGUUGCGGGGAAACAGGACUGUUACUUUGAAAAAAUUAGAGUGUUUAAAGCAAGCUAACGCUUGAAUACAUUAGCAUGGGAUAAUGAAAUAGGACGAUCGAUCCUAUUUUGUUGGUUUCUAGGAUUGACGUA